rnacentral:rRNA from 1 species
UAGGGAAUCUUCCACAAUGGACGCAAGUCUGAUGGAGCAACGCCGCGUGAGUGAAGAAGGUCUUCGGAUCGUAAAGCUCUGUUGUUGGUGAAGAAGGAUAGAGGCAGUAACUGGUCUUUAUUUGACGGUAAUCAACCAGAAAGUCACGGCUAACUACGUGCCAGCAGCCGCGGUAAUACGUAGGUGGCAAGCGUUGUCCGGAUUUAUUGGGCGUAAAGCGAGCGCAGGCGGAAUGAUAAGUCUGAUGUGAAGGCCCACGGCUCAACCGUGGAACUGCAUCGGAAACUGUCAUUCUUGAGUGCAGAAGAGGAGAGUGGAACUCCAUGUGUAGCGGUGGAAUGCGUAGAUAUAUGGAAGAACACCAGUGGCGAAGGCGGCUCUCUGGUCUGCAACUGACGCUGAGGCUCGAAAGCAUGGGUAGCGAACAGGAUUAGAUACCCUGGUAGUCCAUGCCGUAAACGAUGAGCGCUAGGUGUUGGGGACUUUCCGGUCCUCAGUGCCGCAGCAAACGCAUUAAGCGCUCCGCCUGGGGAGUACGACCGCAAGGUUGAAAC